GAGGGCAUAGCUCAGCGGAAGAGUGCAUACUUAGCGUGCAUGAGGUUCUGGGUUCAAUCCCCAGUACCUCCA
rfam:Camelus ferus unplaced genomic scaffold scaffold506, whole genome shotgun sequence.